AGUCCUGUAGCUCAGUGGUCAGAGUAUCUCUCUUACAAAGAGAAAGUCGUGAGUUCGAUUCUCACCAGGACUACCA
rnacentral:tRNA from 1 species